rnacentral:rRNA from 1 species
AGAGCGAACGCUGGCGGCAGGCCUAAUACAUGCAAGUCGAACGGAUCCUUCGGGAUUAGUGGCGGACGGGUGAGUAACACGUGGGAACGUGCCCUUUGGUUCGGAACAACUCAGGGAAACUUGAGCUAAUACCGAAUGUGCCCCCAUCCUUAAACAAGAUGGGUGGGAAAGAUUUAUCGCCAUUGGAGCGGCCCGCGUCUGAUUAGCUAGUUGGUGAGGUAAAGGCCCACCAAGGCUACGAUCAGUAGCUGGUCUGAGAGGAUGAUCAGCCACACUGGGACUGAGACACGGCCCAGACUCCUACGGGAGGCAGCAGUAGGGAAUCUUGCGCAAUGGGCGAAAGCCUGACGCAGCCAUGCCGCGUGAAUGAUGAAGGUCUUAGGAUUGUAAAAUUCUUUCAGCGGGACGAUAAUGACGGUACCCGCAGAAGACGCCCGGCUAACUUCGCGCCAGCAGCCGC